AGCACUCAUAAAGGUGGAAAAAGCAAUCUCAAUAAAAGAAUAACACAAAUUCUCAUUCAUAGCUUUAGAAUAGUUCAAGGUAAGAAACAAAAAAUUGUAUUCAAUUAAAAUUUAAAAUAAAAGUUAUUAAGAAAUUUAUGUUUUUUUAAGAAAGAAAAAUAUCAUAAAUAAAAAAAGAAAGUACAAAAAAUAAGGGGACAUAAAUAUUACUCAACAAUCACAUGUCAAUCUUAAAUGAGUAGUACAACAAUGAAAAAUAAAAAUGGUAUAUAAAAG
rnacentral:lncRNA from 1 species